AUUGAACGCUGGCGGCAUGCCUUACACAUGCAAGUCGAACGGCAGCACGGGAGCAAUCCUGGUGGCGAGUGGCGAACGGGUGAGUAAUAUAUCGGAACGUGCCCAGUCGUGGGGGAUAACGCAGCGAAAGCUGUGCUAAUACCGCAUACGAUCUAAGGAUGAAAGCGGGGGAUCGCAAGACCUCGCGCGAUUGGAGCGGCCGAUAUCAGAUUAGCUAGUUGGUGGGGUAAAGGCCCACCAAGGCGACGAUCUGUAGCUGGUCUGAGAGGACGACAAGCCACACUGGAACUGAGACACGGUCCAGACUCCUACGGGAGGCAGCAGUGGGGAAUUUUGGACAAUGGGCGCAAGCCUGAUCCAGCAAUGCCGCGUGCAGGAUGAAGGCCUUCGGGUUGUAAACUGCUUUUGUACGGAACGAAACGGCCCUUUCUAAUACAGGGGGCUAAUGACGGUACCGUAAGAAUAAGCACCGGCUAACUACGUGCCAGCAGCCGCCGUAACAC
rnacentral:rRNA from 1 species